CAUGAAAUGGCUUGUAUUGUUUUCAAAGGAUUUCUUUUGAAUGUGUUAGCUGAAAGAAAAACAAACAUCCCCCUCCCCCAAAAAAAUCAGACACUCUCAGGCCCCGCAUCUGUUAAGCUUCAGUAGAUUUGCUUAGCUCUCCAGAGUCCAUCCUGUAUUGAUUUAAACAUACACGGUCCUAUAUUUAUAUGAAGUCUUUUGAAAGUGAGAGAACAAAACUCUGUUUGGGCCUGACUCUAGGAGGUAUAUCCAAACCCAGACUUCCAAGUAGAAGCACUGUAGAGCAUAUGUCCUUGAUUUUGGUGUAUGUUCCACCAAAUUAAGUGUUUCAGCCUUCUGGAGAACUGGAAUUUCCAGUGCGCCUGCAGAUGGAACUGAAAUUCCUUUUGUGCUACUGCUGAUGUCAGCGAGGGGCUGGAAAUCUGUAGUUAUCUGGGACCAAGCCUGCUGAGCCUGAUGCAGGCCAGCUCUCCCAGUGACCUGCUCUAGAUUCAGCAAGAGUUCACUGAAAUCAAGGUACUUUGAGAACAACAUUUUGUGUACAACAUACUGGCUUUGUUUUUCUUAUUUAUUUAUUUUUUUUUCAAAUGAAACUCUAUUUUGUCAAAUACUUCAUGGCCAGACCUGGUUUUGGUCUCUUCUCCUCUUCUCCUGUAAGGAAAAAGGACAGGGAUCACGUUCAUUUACCAAGCUAAAUCUUCUAUGACUUAACAGCAACAACAACAGCAACAUCGAUAUAAGAUUCAAUUCUAGACAAUUCCUAUCGUGAUCUUCCAAAGAAUUGAGAUGAUCCGAACUAGAAAUAGACCUAACUGCUACCUACUCCAUUUCUGUGAUCACUAUUUGUCCAAAUUAUAUUAUCAAGCAGCCAAUUAUUUUUAAAUGUUCUGCAGAGCACAUUCCCUUCUCUUUAGAUGCUGCUCACAAGGUACACUUACCUUGCCUGGCUUAAAAAACAAAUGAAACAAAUUCUGAGCAUUGGCAUAAUUUUCUCCUUUGUUAACAUAAUCAAAUUACUUCUGCUUAUACCCCAGUCUGUCACAUUAAGACAUGCUUUACUGAGUUACCUUAUUGUUAUUUGCACUGUAGCAGUGUCUAAAGACUCAGCCAAAGACCACGGGCCUUUCGUAGAUCCUACACACGAAGGAUCCAUUAUUCUUUUAGGUGCAGAUACAUCUCUCUUCAUAAUUGCAUCCUGAGCUGUGACAGAGUGGCUGCCAGGCAACACAGCUGUCAAAAACACAUUGCAGGGCAGUUGGAGAGCACAAGUCGAAGGAAAUAAUAGAAAUGUUUGGGACAUGAGGCAUUGCACAGAACAGCUCUUCGUGUUCCUCGUAACUGAUUGUGCAGCACAGCCUCAGCUAAAACAUGCUUAUGGCAUAAUCUCACGAGGCUUGGGGUGUCUAAGGAACACAUCAUCCAAGUUAGGUCUGACACUGAAGAGUACACUCCUGCCCUGUUUCUGUCUUUUAUAUCAGCAAUAGGUCUCGUGUGAUGGGCCAUAGCAGGCAGGUAAAAUGGCUGAAAAUGCUUUACAGUUACCUUUCAGAUGGAUUAGUUCCCUGCUUUGGCUCGUGCUAUGGCCAGUGCCCGUUGGUACAAGCAGGAAGGAGGUGGCAGCAGCAUGUGGCUGCACAGACCCUGCCCUUCCAGCAGGACCUGGCUCAGCGCUUUGCACUGCUCGCAAAGUCGCACGCACGAGAUGCAACAGAGCUCUUUAAUGACAGAUGGCUGCUGAAAGGAGUACUUCUGCUUUCCCUCACUCGCAGGUUGCUGCUUGCCUCGAUCCUGCAGCUGUGUGGUCACAAGGUGGAUCAAUUCAGCUCCGGCCAAUGGAAAACUCAUUAUUUUCUGAAGUGUAAUUUUUCCAGCGGAUUGACCAGCUGGUUGGAGUCAGAUGGGUACCAGGUUCAGCAGAGAACACGCUCACGGGUCGCAGGCAGGAUCAUCUUUUUGCAACAGCCUGCUGUCAGGUCUGUGAAGGUGAAAAGGAGGGAUGCCAUUGGUUGAUUGAUUGAUUAGAUGAGAGCUAAUGGCCUCAGGUUGCACCAGGAGAGGUUGAGGUUGGAUAUCAGGAAUUUUUUUAUCCCCUGAAGGAGUGGUGAUGCACUGGCAUAGGCUGCCCAGGGAAGUGGUGGGUUCAUCAUUCCCAGAGGUGAUCAAGAACUGUGUAGAUGUGGCACUGACGGACAUUGUUUAGUGAGCAUGGUGGGGAUGGGUCGCAUGGUUGGACUGGAUAAUCUUAGAGGUCUUUUCCAACAGUAAUGAUUCUAUGAUUCCAUAAUUCUAAGAAAGUCCAGACUACUUCUGCUGUAUCCAUGCAACACACAACCCAGUGUCACACUGAUUUUGGAAGGAGCCAUUCUGUGCCUCCAUCUGCCACCUCCCUUCCAGUAUGGGUACCUCUGAGAUCCCAGCUGAGUUGGUUUAGGAAGAGCUAGUGAAGAAAAAAUAUUUAUAUCCUAUCCUAUCCUAUCGUAUCCUAUCGUAUCCUAUCGUAUCCUAUCCUAUCCUAUCCUAUCCUAUCCUAUCCUAUCCUAUCCUAUCCUAUCCUAUCCUAUCCUAUCCUAUCCUAUCCUAUCCUAUCCUAUCCUAUCCUAUCCUAUCCCAUCCCAUCCCAUCCCAUCCCAUCCCAUCCCAUCCCAUCCCAUCCCAUCCCUUUUUGCUGGUGAAGCCAGCUCCCUGUGGGUUGGUCUACUGGUGCAGCUGAUCCCUGAGACUUGGACCUCAUGGUUGGGACAGGGGGACAGCUUUCCACAAUCUGUCUGUGAAACUGGCUUGACUACAGUGUCACUUACUGAGACAUUUAGGACCUGGCGAAUCCAGCCUGGAGGAGCAGGUCAGCCUUAUUUGUGGCUGUGUGGCAGAUGAUGUAUGUAAGGAGAACCCCAUCUUACAUUCGUGUCUCUGAACCUCACAAGUUCCUUUCCGCACAAGUUCCUUUGGACUGGAGCCCAGCAGAAAGGAAGGAAACACCUGUGCCACUGAGGUGGUCGAUACAGACCCCAGAGGUGAAAUAAAGCCCCCGGCGUGCAAGGUCCCGUGUUCCAGAUAAGUGCCUUGGGCAGAAGAAUGCUUCUUUUCUCUCUAUACAAGCAGCAAAUCAGUCGGUUUCUGGCAUCGAGGGCUCCCUGCCCAGCUCCUCUCGGAAGGACCGGGACGCCUGGGAGCCGGCCGUGCACCUGAGACGAGCAGCCCGGCUCCACCGGCAGCGCGCUGAGCCCGGGACACGGCGGUGCAGAGCCUCGCAG
ensembl:lncRNA